AGUAACGCGUGGGUAACCUGCCUCAUACAGGGGGAUAACAGUUAGAAAUGACUGCUAAUACCGCAUAAGCGCACAGUGCUGCAUGGCACAGUGUGAAAAACUCCGGUGGUAUGAGAUGGACCCGCGUCUGAUUAGCUAGUUGGUGGGGUAACGGCCUACCAAGGCGACGAUCAGUAGCCGGCCUGAGAGGGUGACCGGUCACAUUGGGACUGAGACACGGCCCAA
rnacentral:rRNA from 1 species